UACGAAGGGGGCUAGCGUUGUUCGGAUUUACUGGGCGUAAAGCGCACGUAGGCGGAUUUUUAAGUCAGGGGUGAAAUCCCGGGGCUCAACCCCGGAACUGCCUUUGAUACUGGAAGUCUUGAGUAUGGUAGAGGUGAGUGGAAUUCCGAGUGUAGAGGUGAAAUUCGUAGAUAUCGGAGGAACACCAGUUGGCGAAGGCGGCUCACUGGACCAUUACUGACGCUGAGGUGCGAAAGCGUGGGGAGCAAACAGG
rnacentral:rRNA from 1 species